rnacentral:tRNA from 1 species
GGGGCUGUAGCUCAGUGGUAGAGUGCCCAUCUUGCACAUGUGAGGCAAUGGGUUUGAUCCUCAGCACCA